rnacentral:lncRNA from 1 species
CUUCAAGUGCCAUAGGAGUUCAGGGGAGAGAGGUUGCCUCUGACUAUGGUGAUCUUAGACCUGAUGAAUGCUUCAUUCAAGCUGAUCAUGAAGGAUAGGAAGAAUUUCGACAGGCAGAACAAAUGGGGGAACAGAAGAUGGGGAAGAUAUACCAGGUAGUGGGGAAAAUACUAAAGACUGGAGAUGGAGCCCUUUGGUUUUGUCUGGUUUGCCAGGGAAGUGACUUCUCUUCCGUAGAAGUGGUACAGAAAGGAAGCAUGACUAUGAAUGCUCUUCACACGUGCUAUUGCAUUCUCUGAAGAGAAGGCUCAGCCUGCUCCGUUCCUAUUUGCUCUUCUCCCAGGGUAACAAAAUGGCUAAAUGUUCAUAGCCUAAUCCCAGGAACCUGGUAGGGCAAAAGAGACUUUGCAGAUACCAUUAAAACAAAGGCCCUUACAAAAUUGUCCUGGAUUGUCUGGGGAGCCAACCUAAUCACAUGCUUCUUUAAAGCCACAGAAGCACUUCCAACUGUGUUCAUAGGAAGAUGUGACAACAACAGAAUGGUUAGAAGAGCACAAAGUGAGAAGGACCGGCCCCACUCUUGCUUGCUGUAAGGAUGGAGGAUGGGGCCAUGUGUCAAGGGAUGUGGGUAGCCUCUGGAAGAUGGAAAAGGCAAAGUAACUGAUUUCCCUGUGAAGUUUCCAGGAAGGAAUGCAGACGUGCUGAUGCCUGGAUGUUAGCCAAGGGACACUCAUGUGCUUGGUACAUUGGAAUCACCAAGGAAGUGCUUCUUCGAUCGAACUGAAUCCUCACACAGCCCUAUAAGGACACAGUAAUAGCCGCACCAUCCUUUCCCCCCUGCAAGACUGGACUUUCUGUAAUGAGGGCUGUGUCAAGGAAAACAUCUUAGAAAUUGGACUAUCUAGAAAUCUGCUAGCCUUCCAGCCUCUUCAUUAUCAUAACCAUCUCCAACAUCCACAGAC